AGCGAACGCUGGCGGCGUGCCUAACACAUGCAAGUCGAGCGCGGGCAUUUCGGGGGUAACCCCGGGAUGUGCUGAGCGGCGGACGAGUGAGUAAUACGUGGACAACCUGCCUUAAAGCUUGGGAUAACUCCGGGAAACUGGAGCUAAUACCGGAUAAGACCACGGUGUCUAUGGAUGCUGAGGUAAAAGGCGGCCAGGAAACUGGCUGUUGCUUAAAGAUGGGUCCACGUCCCAUCAGGUAGUUGGUGAGGUAAAGGCUCACCAAGCCAAAGACGGGUAGCUAGGCCUUAGCGGGUGGUCAGCCANACGGGAACUGAGACACGGUCCCGACUCCUACGGGGGCAGCAGUGAGGAAUAUUGGGCAA
rnacentral:rRNA from 1 species